UACGUAGGGGGCUAGCGUUGUCCGGAAUCAUUGGGCGUAAAGCGCGCGUAGGCGGCCAGAUAAGUCCGGUGUGAAAGUCACAGGCUCAACCUGUGAAUGCCGCUGGAAACUGUCUGGCUUGAGUCCGGAAGGGGCGAGUGGAAUUCCUGGUGUAGCGGUGAAAUGCGCAGAUAUCAGGAAGAACACCUAUGGCGAAAGCAGCUCUCUGGGACGGUACUGACGCUGAGACGCGAAAGCGUGGGGAGCGAACAGG
rnacentral:rRNA from 1 species